rnacentral:lncRNA from 1 species
AACAAAAUUUGAUGCGAACUAUCGCUUUCUCUCAAUUUCAGUCACAAAGAGAAGAAGGGCGAUCUGAUUCGCCAUCGACGAAACAUGAAACCCAUGUUUUUCAAUUUUCUAGGUAUACGCAGCUUUAUUUUAUUUUUUAUUUUUUUCUAGAUUUAAUGUUUCUUAUUCAAUGUUUGUCUUCCAAUGGAUUCUGCAAUCUUAACUUUACCUCUGUUUUAGUAACCCUGAAAUCGAACUAGAUCUAAUUUAUAUGCUGUUCAAAAGAGCUCCUUUUAUCCAUCUGAGAGAUGUUAGAACAGGAAAGGUCAAACCCUAAAUCGUGGAAUAUGGGUUUAGCUUUUGCAACUUUGUUAAAUGUCGAUUGAUAAGUACCUAAGGUUUGUUUGAACACUUGUUUUUGUUAUGAAACUUAGUAUGAAAUUUUCAGCCCUGUACAAGGAUUUUUUUCUUAGUUUAAUAAAUGAGUUUUAUAUUAUCAACUAAUUGGAAAUCAUUGUUGGGUAUAAUUUUGAAGUUAUUAUUACUAUGAAAAUUGAUAGACUUAUUAUACAUGACGUUUCGAAUUCCUCUACACAUACAUUACUUUUUUAAACUUAAAGUUCAACGUUUGUUUUGUCAAAAUCACAUUUCUCUUUUGCAAACGGGAAUUUCUAGGCUGUGCUUUCAUAUAAAUCUUAACAUGUCAGAUGUCUGAGUUUGUUCAUGCAAUAUUAGAUUGCUCUCGCUGUGCUGGAUUGCAGGUAUUUUCUGCUUCUUCAGAUGACGAACAUUGAGUUUCUACUGCCCCCUGUCUGUUCUUUAUAGAAAUUGUGGAUCUUUAUGAUUUCGAUGAGUAAAUUCAAAUAUUGGACAUUGGCUGGUUGAUGUUUGACACAUGGAUGUUUGUUGCGUGCUAUCAUCCAGUCCCUUAACAAUCAAAAGGAGUAUCUGCUUAACAUGGUUUUAUGGUAUUGGUUGUUAGAUGGUACUCACACUGCUGUCAUUAAAUAUCGUUGUUCAUGUUACUUCAUGUGUUGGAUGCCUACUAAAUAUCACGGUAGCAAAUAAGCUGUUUACUGUGAAAAAUCUAACCUUGGAAGUCAUAAUGACUCCAAGAUAAUAUGAACUUAAAAGAAUUAGGAUUUCCUUUACCUAGAAGUCCAGAUUGAUUUGAGUGAUAAAAGUUGUUCAAAUGGCUAUACAGAAUACAAUUUUCUGCUUACAUGUCUCACCAUAUUAUCAAGGAAAUAAAUGAAGUUCCAAAAAAUUGAAUAUAUAUGCUCCUAGGCAACUUGGCUAAUUGAAAACAAAUGUAGUUCUUUCUGUUAAGAAAUUUUAAUUGAAUGAUGAAACUUGAAUAAAAAAAAAUCAAGUGAAAUAUGUUGCCAUGUAGCUGGAGGCAGCUUUCAAUGGAUAAAAAUAGACAGUUGCAUUUGGGACCAUUUGGUGAGUUAUGAGUAAUACUAGCUUGGAGUUCUCCAGUUUUCCAGUUUUCCCGUAUACCUUUUUGUGUAGUCUUUAGCUUUAUGAAAAUAUCAAACUCGAGUGUAGUCCAUAACUCCAUUGCCUAUCUAGUGUCGAGCCAAAUGGAUACUAAAGUUUUAUUCUCUGACUGAGCUAUAAACAUGCAAUGGCUACAUGGUUAAGUAUAUAAAAGAAAAGUAACUAACAGUCAGAAGAAGGCCAGGUUCAAUUUCAAGACAUUGAACAAUUCUGGCUUUAGAAGUCAUAAUAAGAACAUAUACUUGCCUUCUUGUUUUGGUGACUCUUAAACUACUUUUGAAGUGCAUCAUCAACUUUAUCUACUUCAAUUUAAGGGAGUGUACACCCUCAUUUGCAUACUUUAGAGACAAACUUUAGAGGGGGAUUCUGGCGUAACGAAGCUAUAGCGAUUCCAAUGAUGGAAAACCUUUUCUUUAUAUUUCAAAGACAGAAAUAUGGAGUCCAUGAACUUUCUUUAAGUUAGUCAUAUUAACUAAAAAAAAAAAAAAGAAGCAGCCUGUGUGAGAGUAGGGGAUUCCCUGGUUUUCCUUGUCUCUAAGCUAACUUAUUUUUCCUGAGACUACUAUAUCUCUGACAUCAGUUAUACAUCAAUUGACAAUUAGAUCGUGUAUAGUAUGACUUGUUAAUAUCAACAUGGAAGAGGUGAUAAGUAAGGACCAAUCAUGGUAUAACAGCUUCCCCCCUCUACCCUAAAGAAGCUCCACCACUGAGCCAGUGUUUAUAAACAGUAAUUGGACCACAAGAUUAAUAAUGCUCAACCACUGCUAUUUACACAAUCAAAUGACUAAUUUAACAAAUAUAACUAUUCAAGCUUACCCCAUAUGUUUGCAUACUCAACUUUUGAAUGCAUUACCCAUGCUGAUUCUGCUAAAAUCAAAUCAAUCAUUUGUUUACACAGGAAGAAGAGUAGUACUAGUCAUUUACACAUCACACAUCACCUUAUAUAUUUAUAAUAUAGCGACUAAAGUACCUAUGUAACCAACAAUCAGCUAACUUUAGCAUCGGUACUUAAAUAUGGGUAGAUUUAAUUAAGUUUGGUAGCUGGCUAAUCAGAGUUAUGUAUUGGGAAAUGUUUGAGUAGCUCUAUUUACCAAAAAGUAAUGGAUAAAAGCUCUUGCUCAUGAUUCAGAGUUAAAGAAAAAUAGUUGGCAAUGUAGAAGUACUACAAUCGAAAUAACUACUGUAACAGUUGAGGGUUUUCAUUUUGAUGCAUUUGAAAUAUCUACAUUUAUGUUCUUUAUAUCUAAGCAAUUUCUAGUUACUUCUUCCAUGGUUUCAAAACAGCGAGUACGAUGAUGAGGGCAAUGGCCAGGAUCAAUAUAAUGGAAAUCAUCAUGCAUUUUCUUGACUUCUUUUGCAAACUUUUUGCAGUUUGGAGAGCGUCGUUACCCAGUCUCACAUGAUCAGUUGUGUUUGUCACCUGUUCAUUACAAAAUGGCAUUUUUAAAAGACAUGAUUAGAUGUAUAAUUCAACUGAUUUUGUCUCUUUGUAUAGUAUGAUUUUUAAACUUCUUGUGCUUACAUGCCACAAUCUAAAUGUCUAAAACUUUCUUUGAAUGAAAUAAUAGGAAGAACUAAACAUCCCAAAUAUAAAGUGAUCAAAAGUGUUGUUUGCAUAGAUAAUAAUAAUCCAAAAGGUGAAGUUUGUUUUUGCUUAAUUGGAUGGGUAGAAUGGAAAAAGCCAAAAAAAGAAAUUCAUUGUAGGUGCUAAUGUACUGUUUUCCAAUUAUAUUUAAAGUUUUGUUUGUGUACUCUAACAUGUUAAAACUAUAAAUAUGAUUGAACAAUAAUUCCUACAAUAUCGUGUAAGUUUUGUACUAAAAGGAAUAAAAAAGAAACAAAUGGAAAUUGUAAGUUAUUAUAAUAAUAAUUAUUUUAUGAAAAAUUAAAAUUUUUCAUAAAAUAUUUUUCACAAUUGAAAGCAAUUUACAAUUUACAUUAUAGAUCCCUGAGACCAUUCAAUCCCACCUAGUGGGUGAAGAUUUUCUAUUCCU